CGGCUCCAGGGAGUUCCACCCUCCUCGCCACUGCUCUGCAGCAGCCGCCGCAGAUCACUUCCGGGGCUCUGACUGGAGAGACUCAAAGCAAGGGAGCUGUUCUGUAGGCCUCAAAAAGCAAAAUGUCUGUGGAAAAGGCUACACGACAUCCUCUAGAAGCUGAAAUGGCCUCUGGCUGACAGCUAGCAAGAAAACAAGAACCUUGGUCCUAUAACCACAAGGAACUAAAUUUUUCCAACAACCAGUGAACUCUAAGCUUCAGGUUUCAGGCUGUCUUUUGUCAUCUCAAUUUACUCCUGAGUAAGAGGAUGCUAAUGAAGUCACCAUGGGUGAUGAGGUUCAGGCCCAUGGUCCCCUCCUGCAGGAACUGUCCCUGCUGCCUGGUUGGGAGCUGUGCAGCUGCUGUCUUUUUUUCUGGUAUCUUCAGGGAAAGGCGCUUGGAGAAGGAGGCACUUAGAGAGAAGAAGGAGAGGUGAAAUUUUGGCUCUUGAAGAACUUAGUCUGGUUGGGGAAACAAGAUUCCAAUCACUGCAUGGAGCGAUGAA